GACGAACGCUGGCGGCGUGCUUAACACAUGCAAGUCGAACGAUGAACCACUUCGGUGGGGAUUAGUGGCGAACGGGUGAGUAACACGUGGGCAAUCUGCCCUGCACUCUGGGACAAGCCCUGGAAACGGGGUCUAAUACCGGAUACGAGUCUCCAAGGCAUCUUGGAGACUGUAAAGCUCCGGCGGUGCAGGAUGAGCCCGCGGCCUAUCAGCUUGUUGGUGAGGUAGUGGCUCACCAAGGCGACGACGGGUAGCCGGCCUGAGAGGGCGACCGGCCACACUGGGACUGAGACACGGCCCAGACUCCUACGGGAGGCAGCAGUGGGGAAUAUUGCACAAUGGGCGAAAGCCUGAUGCAGCGACGCCGCGUGAGGGAUGACGGCCUUCGGGUUGUAAACCUCUUUCAGCAGGGAAGAAGCGAGAGUGACGGUACCUGCAGAAGAAGCGCCGGCUAACUACGUGCCAGCAGCCGCAGUAAAAC
rnacentral:rRNA from 1 species